AAGUCGUAACAAGGUUUCCGUAGGUGAACCUGCGGAAGGAUCAUUAACACAAGUAAAAAAACAUUUUACAACACCCUAUUAUGAAUUUAAAUUUUUUAAUUUUAAUUUUUUUAUAAAACUACAAAAAAAAUAUUUAAUUUAUUUGACUAACAUUUUUUUAAUUAAUUUAUUUAAAAUUUUAUAAAACAACUCUUAACAACGGAUAUCUUGGCUCUC
rnacentral:misc_RNA from 1 species